UACAGAGGUCCCGAGCGUUGUUCGGAUUCAUUGGGCGUAAAGGGCGCGUAGGCGGCCUUCUAAGUCAGACGUGAAAUCCCCGGGCUCAACCCGGGAACUGCGUCCGAUACUGGAUGGCUUGAAUCCGGGAGAGGGAUGCAGAAUUCCAGGUGUAGCGGUGAAAUGCGUAGAUAUCUGGAGGAAUACCGGUGGCGAAGGCGGCAUCCUGGACCGGCAUUGACGCUGAUGAGCGAAAGCUAGGGGAGCAAACGGG
rnacentral:rRNA from 1 species